GCUUACAAAUUAAAUAAGGGCUAGGGAAAUUGUAAUUAAAGCCCAUACUCAGAUUGUCAUUUCAUGGUUCAAUAAAGAAGAGUAUAUGAUUCAUUACUUAAUAAGAAGAAGCUUGGACCUAACAACAAGCCCAAAAUUCUACCAAAGUCUCUACCUUGAGGCAGAGAACCAAAGGACUCCUCGGGGCAGCGAAUUCCCCUGCAUUUCACCAUGACUUUCAUAUUCAGGCCCAAAUGUGGCCUAAAUAUUACAAGAUAUAAGCUGUAGGCGAAAAAACAGAAUUGAGCCUAAAUGGAAACAAGCUGAUAUACAAACGAAAGAGACAUGCCAAAUGACCCUUACAUGUUACUCGUUCCUUUAAAAAAACAAACAACCUUAUAUUAUACCUUGCUAUCGAAUUCAAAUUUUUAUGUUAAAACAUUUCAUUGAAAAAAAUAGAACAAACCAUAUAAUCAUCGCUUAAUGCAAACCUUAAGCAAUGUAAACAUGCUGACACAUUUAAACUUUGAAUAGUUAACCAAAUGAUACUGAAUCCUCAAGAAUCAACCUUCAAACAUCACACAAAAUCAAUAGCCUUAUAACACUAUUACAGGUAAGACUAUUUAAAUUUUUUCAGAAAGAAUACCAAGCUAAACUUAAACUGAGCCUUAUGUUAACAGAUAUAAUAGGAUAGAAACAGGAUCUUAAAACCACCAAAGCUAUUCACUUAUCACAAACCACAAUAGUUAGCCAACAAAUUCUAUCAAUACAAUUAUGUUAUAUGAAUUCUCCCUAACACUAACAGUCCUUAACUUGUAAACCAAACUCCAGUUUUACCUGAACCUCCAAAAAUCAUACUAAAACCUUCAACAUGAUUCUUGGACAUUUUAGAUUCAUUCAAGAGUAGAAGUUAAAUACAAAACAUACUUUCAUAGUCGUAUUUAGCUUCAUUAGUCACAAAAACAUCUACAAAAUGUGCUCAUAUAACUCCUAAACAUGCUAUCUAAUAUUGAAACUAAACAUCUAACUCCAAACACUAGCACGACUUUAUAAUAUGCAAGUAACAGCUCAUUUAACACCUAUCAUUACAGGUCUACUACAUGAUAUGAAACAAUAAGAAAAAUAGAGAAAACCUAAGUCAACACAGCUUGUAUUCCAUCAGACUUCUAGUUGAAUUACAUAAUCAACAUUCAAUCAAUGUUCAUAGGCUAGGGGAUACCUGGAAAUGAAAGGAAACAAGAGGUGAGGGAUCAGCAAUAGCAGUAGCAGAAGUUAGCCCAAAUGCAGUCAAUGAAACAGUGAAACCAAUAGAACAGUAGAAAAACUUUCAAACCAAACUCUUCCCAAGCCCAAGUUCAAUCCAUUUUCACCCAGAUGGCUCGGAAAUUGUUUCAGAAAAGGAAGACUUCAGAAAUCACAGACCAAAACUCAAUGGAACUGUAAUUUUUAUAAAAUUUUAACCUGUUUUCUAUUUUGCAAAAUUUUUCUCCUCCAAGUCUGCCCUAAAAUCUCAAGUAACAACGCAUUUAUAGGAAAACCAUUAGGGCAAACUUAUGGGCUCAGUUUUUGCUUUUUUUCUCCUUUCCCAAUUUUAGUUUUUGCUACUUAAUCCGUGAAAUAUUGACUUGCUU
rnacentral:lncRNA from 1 species